AAAUUGUACAAUAGGUAUUGUGAGAGCUAUUAUCAACAGGUGGUCAUUUAACUACCUGUAGAUUUACCUGGUUUGUUUUUAACAGAGCUAAUUUAAAUGAAUGAUAGCUAGCUUGCUUUCCUCAUGUCCAAUGUCCUGAAUGGACUAUUCUAUUUAGGUAUGGGACAUUUUACAUUUGAUACACUAUUUGUUCUUUCUAACAAAGAUAAUUAUUGUAAAUUUUUUUUUUGCUAACAAUCACAAAUAAAUCAUUGCUGGUAAAUCCCACUUUCAUAAUGAAGAAUAAGUACUUGAAAUUUCUAUUCACUAAGCCAUUUGUACUUUUUUUGAUAUAUUGAAAAUAAAUUUUUCACAGUAAUUCCGAUUGAAGAAGAUCCUGAAUAUUAAAUGAAACUUAGCAUCACUACUAUUCCAUUUCAGGAAUCGUAAUAUAACAUGAAAAUAUAUCCCAUUAUAAAACACCAAGCCACACAUAAUUCAUCUUGUAGAAUUAUUCACAAUUAGAUGGGCUAUCCAAAAAAAUCCAUUUCACAAACACUUUAAUUCCAUAUCAGGAAUCAGAAACUUAAAAUAUAUCCCACAUUAAAACACCAUGAAGCAAACAUAUAUCUCCUUUUUUUUAUAAACUAAAUUCACUAUCAAUUGAAUUUCCAUCUUCACUGUAAAGAGACACAAAAAGAAAUGGCUUAAAAUGUCCCAUCUCUAAAUAGAAUAGUCUAUUCAGGACAUUGGUCAUGAUACAUGAGGAAAGCAAGCUAUCUAUCAG
rnacentral:lncRNA from 1 species